AACGCGAAGAACCUUACCUGGGCUAGAAUGCAGAGAGACUUCCGGUGAAAGCUGGAUUUGUAGCAAUACACUGUCUGUAAGGUGCUGCAUGGCUGUCGUCAGCUCGUGCCGUGAGGUGUUGGGUUAAGUCCCGCAACGAGCGCAACCCCCAUCACUAGUUGCCAUCAGGUAAAGCUGGGAACUCUAGUGAAACUGCCGUCGUAAGACGCGAGGAAGGAGGGGAUGAUGUCAAGUCAUCAUGGCCUUUAUGCCCAGGGCUACACACGUGCUACAAUGGGAGAGACAAAGGGCAGCGACAUAGCGAUAUGAAGCUAAUCCCAAAAACUCUUUCUCAGUUCAGAUUGCAGUCUGCAACUCGACUGCAUGAAGCUGGAAUCGCUAGUAAUCGUAUAUCAGCAAUGAUACGGUGAAUACGUUCCCGGGCCUUGUA
rnacentral:rRNA from 1 species